ACGAACGCUGGCGGCGUGCUUAACACAUGCAAGUCGAACGGAAAGGCCCUGCUUUUGUGGGGUGCUCGAGUGGCGAACGGGUGAGUAACACGUGAGUAACCUGCCCUUGACUUUGGGAUAACUUCAGGAAACUGGGGCUAAUACCGGAUAGGAGCUCCUGCUGCAUGGUGGGGGUUGGAAAGUUUCGGCGGUUGGGGAUGGACUCGCGGCUUAUCAGCUUGUUGGUGGGGUAGUGGCUUACCAAGGCUUUGACGGGUAGCCGGCCUGGGAGGGUGACCGGCCACAUUGGGACUGCGGUACGGCCCAGACUCCUACGGGAGGCAGCAGUGGGGAAUAUUGCACAAUGGGCGGAAGCCUGAUGCGGCAACGCCGCGUGCGGGAUGACGGCCUUCGGGUUGUAAACCGCUUUCGCCUGUGACGAAGCGUGAGUGACGGUAAUGGGUAAAGAAGCACCGGCUAACUACGUG
rnacentral:rRNA from 1 species